GAGAGAUUUCCCACAAGACUACUGCUCGUUGGACUGACUGAGUCUGAGUCGUUGGGUGGCCAAGGUGGAGAGGGAGAAGCGACUGAGACCCUUUGAGAAUUCCCAACAGCUCCUCAUAUUUACGUUGUCUUCAACUCCGACCCGACCAGCGGUCUUCAGCAUCGCUCUCUCUGCGACGACAGUCCACUUUAUCCCGCACGCCUCCUGUCCUUGCGCGAAGAAAUCAGAAGCUCCCCAACCGACUCCCGAGGUGGAGGUGUGGGAGACCCGGUCCUCGGAAAGGUCCAUGCAUCUGUCUGAGGACAGAGGGAGUAGGAGUCUGUAAAUGGGGAACACUGAGAUCUAGCUUCUCAUCAGAUCUCCUGAAAAUUCCAACAUCCCCAUCAGCAAAGAGGCAAGCCGCGUGAGAGUGCUCCAACCGGGGCUACGUCGGCGCAUUGAAUUGUGGGAUAAUGGCACCGUGGGGUAGAGCAGCUGUAGUGAGGCUAACUCCAGUGGUGUCACGGUAACAGCUCUGACAGUGUCUGGCUAACAAUCACUAAGUGUGGUCAUGACUGACAACCCCUAGGGGCUCGGCCUCUGUUCAUGCUUUCUUUCUUGUGUGUGCUUUUAGUUCAUACUCGCUUUUGUUGCUUUUGUUGUUGCUUUACGUUCAGUAUUUGAAUGUGUCACGGUCUUUGUAAAGCUGUAGUUUUCUGACUUUAUACCCUCAAACUGUGUUUUACCUCAGGAGAAGCUCUUUGAUGAUUUGUCACAGCAAUCCACCUCUUGUAUAUCCCUGUUUGUUCCAGUUUGUUAGCAAUUUGGGCUAACGUUAGCUCUCCGUUAGCUUGUGUUCAUUCCUUCCUCGUUCCUGAGGUUUAAAACCGUGGGCUCCAUUGCACUGGGCAAGCUGAGGUAUUUAAACAAUUGUUACUAUUUGAACCCUUGUGAAAACAUAAUCAUCUCCUCACAUCAGCCAUUUCACAAAACACUUAUGACAACAAUAAUCAGCUCGCGUUCCCUGGCCUCGACCUACCCAGAAUGCAUCGGUUUCCUCUUAGUAGAUGCCAACCACUCUAAGGCAAAGAGGGAAGAGAAGUGCUACAUCACUACUGCCACCUGUGUCCCUGAGAAGUGGAGACAGUAAUUACCAGCUGUUUGUGUGACUUUCAGUACAACGACAGAGGGGCCUCGGUUAAUGAGCGCCGGGGUUGAGAAGCAGACACCGGGCUGUAAUUGGCCCAUAAAGCCAAACAACAUCUCAUGUAAGAUUAUUAUUCAUAGAUCACACACAGAGUGAGAGGGAGGCAUUAUACGAACACGUCAACACCACUUCGAUCCACGGCGUCAAAUAUCGUUCCAGCCCACACAGUCACAGACAGACGUGCAUCAUCGCCUGUCAAUCUGAAUCAACGGUGAGAAUUAAGAGCGGUCACGUCGCGAUCAGGAUGGAGGAAGAUAGAAACACUCUGUGACCAUGGUGACAAAGCAUCUGCUGUUGUGGUUGUCACUGGCUGUUGGCUCUCUCUCUAGUGUUUGUGUGUGUGUGAUAAAGAUUGUGACAUUCAGAGCAAAAACCGAAA